ensembl:lncRNA
CAGAGAAGCAGUCAGAAGAGCUGCCACAGGCUGGAAGAACAGCUGCUGUCUUCCCAGCAUGAGUCUGAGAGACUGCAGGAAGAACUGAAGCUGGUCAACAGCAGCUUGACACUAACAUCAGGAGAUACUAUGAGAAACAGUCUCAACACAAAACCAAGUUGCGCAGAGCUAAACAGAUCUUCAUGAAGACAGUCACCCAACAUUAGCACAGGAUCCAGCAGUUAGAUAACGAUCUGGCUCUUGCGACAAGUCUCUCAAAGAAAGUGAGUGUUUUCUUAUCUGACAUUUGACACUACAUGCGUAACUUGCACUUCAUCUUGAGUGUAUUACACUAUGAGCAGGAGAAGGACUGGAUUAGGACUGUGACAGAAGAAAACGACCAGCUCCUCCUAGAGAGACGAGAACUUCUGCAGCGAAUAAGUGAAGCCGAGGAGAUGGGAAACAAUGGACUGAGAACCGCCACUUUGUCCUGUAAUCUCUUAGAGUUAAAUUCCUAGAGAUGGAAAAUAAACAGCUGCAAGAAAAAACUCUAACACUGGCCAAUCAGAUAGGAAUUUUAGAUCGGUCAUUGAGAAACCUUCAGUCGCUGUGUACUGUUGAGGAGGUCAAGAAAAUGUUUCCUUCUGGAUCUCAUCCUGAUGGCCAGCUGUGGACAUCAACUCCAAGUCCCCACCCUGGUCUCUGUGACUCGUGGGGAAUAUUGGAUGCCAUUCACAAAGUCAAAGUGGGUGACUCUGGAGUGAAGAGCCUGGAGAUCUCCUCGUCUGUGCCGGUUUCACAGUCCACUGAGAUGGGCUACCUGAACGUGACCUCACCUGUGGCUCCCAACAGCAGGUUAGAGCAGGAAAGUCUCAGUGCCACAAGCGAUGAGGCCUGAGCGAGUUACAAUGACUUGCGAAAUGCCAUUACAAGGCUUGCCAAUCUAAAAAGUCACUGGAGCAGUCAAGGCUUAAAAAUAAUUGAACUGUAAAUGGUUAAAAAUCAGACAAAUCAUUUUUUGGCAUUGUGACAGUCUAUGUUAUGUUUUGUCUUCAGUUAUUUUCCUUACACUUCAGUUGUUUUUUUAAGGUGAAUUUGAAGAGCUGGAUUAUUGCUCAGGCUCAUACUGUAUCUCCAGGGCUGAAUUCAGUUGCAUUGCCUUUGUGGCUCACGUAGAGGCCUGAGAUUUUAUAUCAUUGGAUGCUAUGGUCAGUAGCCUUGUCACAUCUAUAAGAUGCCAUAUGUAUUUUUUAUACAUUUACCCUAUAAUGGUAUAACUAUGGAGAAGCACUUAAAUCACUAUUAAUUUGAUGUUCAGAUGGUACAAUCUACAGGUGUUUACAACUGAAAUGCAAUAUUGCCUUUGGAUAAGCGGUAAUGUAUAUUUUGGAGCGAUUUGGUGUAAAUGUCACCUGAU